rnacentral:tRNA from 3 species
GCGUCCGUAGCUCAGUUGGUUAGAGCACCACCUUGACAUGGUGGGGGUCGGUGGUUCGAGUCCACUCGGACGCACC